rnacentral:rRNA from 1 species
UUGUCUUUUAAAUAAAGACCAGUAUGAAUGGCAAGACGAAAGUUCAACUGUCUCCCUAAAUUAAUCAAUGAAAUUGAUCUUCCCGUGCAGAAGCGGGAAUAAAAUUAUAAGACGAGAAGACCCUAUGGAGCUUUAAAUAUAUGAUCAACUGUGUAAUAUAAAAUUCAACAGAUUAAAUAUUAAAUAAAACAUUAUGAUCAAAAUUUUAGGUUGGGGCGACCACGGAGAAAAACAAAACCUCCGAGAUGAAAAGAGUAUCUUAAUUUAUGAACUACAGUUCUAAUAAAUAAAAUAUUUAACAUAAUUGAUCCAAUAUAUUGAUCAACGAACUAAGUUACCCUAGGGAUAACAGCGCAAUCCUUUCCAAGAGUCCCUAUCGACGAAUGGGUUUACGACCUCGAUGUUGGAUCAGGACACCCCAAUGGUGCAGCCGCUAUUAAAGGUUCGUUUGUUCAACGAUUAAAGU